rnacentral:rRNA from 1 species
AACGAAGGCUGGCGGCAUGCCUAACACAUGCAAGUCGAACGAGACCUUCGGGUCUAGUGGCGCACGGGUGCGUAACGCGUGGGAACCUGCCCUUAGGUUCGGAAUAACUCCCCGAAAGGGGUGCUAAUACCGGAUAAUGUCUUCGGCCCAAAGAUUUAUCGCCUUUGGAUGGGCCCGCGUUGGAUUAGCUAGUUGGUAGGGUAAAAGCCUACCAAGGCGACGAUCCAUAGCUGGUCUGAGAGGAAGAUCAGCCACACUGGGACUGAGACACGGCCCAGACGCCUACGGGAGGCAGCAGUGGGGAAUAUUGGACCAUGGGCGAAAGGCUGAUCGAGCAAUGCCGCGUGAGUGAUGAAGGCCUGAGGGUUGUAAAGCUCUUUUACCCGGGAUGAUAAUGACAGUACCGGGAGAAUAAGCUCCGGCUAACUCCGUG